UACAGAGGUCCCAAGCGUUGUUCGGAUUCAUUGGGCGUAAAGGGUGCGUAGGCGGCGCGGUAAGUCGGGUGUGAAAUCUCGGAGCUUAACUCCGAAACUGCAUUCGAUACUGCCGUGCUUGAGGACUGGAGAGGAGACUGGAAUUUACGGUGUAGCGGUGAAAUGCGUAGAUAUCGUAAGGAAGACCAGUGGCGAAGGCGGGUCUCCGGACAGUUCCUGACGCUGAGGCACGAAGGUCAGGGGAGCAAACGGG
rnacentral:rRNA from 1 species